rnacentral:lncRNA from 1 species
GGGAUGAUACAUGGGGCCUAAGCCCAAUAAAUAAAGUCCACAAAACCAACCCAAGAAGAAGGAUAAAGAAGUCAUUUACAUAAAGGGAAGGGGGUGAGUUUAGUAAAGAAGGGGGAUGCAUCAUGAAAACACAUGUCAACUUCAACACGCUGCAACUUCAUUCUUUUCAUAUUGUAAAUGUGAUGCAUUUGCUUUCUUCUUGAAGGCCAACACAUGCUGCACAUG